GCAGCAGCAGCUCGGCUCAGUGGUGUUAAACGAGACUGUAAGCUAGGUGGCCGCACGAUCACAUUUAUCGCGCCGAAGCUGUGCCAGACGCACAUGGGAUCCGUCCUGCUUACCGGGGGAUCUUCAGCACCGGCAGCCGAGCGGAGGGCACCGUCAGCCCGGUCAGGAGGAGCGCUCAGCCUGCCUGGACUCUUCCGCUGACGCAAAACAAACGCACAGACACACACACACAAACACACACACGCAGAACAAACACUACACAUUUCGGAGGUGAUAUUCUUCCUUCCUGAGACACAAAGUGUUAUUUAUUUAUAUCGUAUGCGAGCCUGACAGUCAGCCGCGGCGGACAAACUGCGUGUUAGCGCGGGGAGGUCGGACUUGUUUGGCAGGGGAAACACUGAAACACACGCGAAAAGACUCCCGUUCUGUCGCCCCCCUUCUUUUAUUUCCUGUCAGUUUUUUUUCUUCUUCUUGCGAUUUAUUUCCUGCUGCCAAAACCAGGAACCCGGGACUGAACCCUUACUCCGAGGAUGAAAGAAAACUAGAUUUGCGAUCGAGGCUUUGAGGUUGUUUUACUGGAUUUAUUUCGCUGUGGAGGAAAAGCGAUCCGGGAGCGGAGCGGUGCGCAAAAAAGCCGAGGUCUUCCUCCUCUCUUCUCUCCGUCCUUUCUAUCUCUCCAUCUAUCAAUCUGUCUACCCAUCCUCUUCUAUCUAUCUGUCUCUCCAUUUGUUUCCAUGUUUUAGGUCCGUGCGAUUUUGCUAAAAUGCAUCAUCAACAGCGGAUGGCAGCUUUGGGAACAGACAAGGAACUGAGUGACUUACUGGAUUUCAGCGCGAUGCGAAACAGCGAUUUGAAAAUGUUCCCAACAUCCAUGAUGUUUUCCCCUCCUGUUAGCAGUGGAAAGAACGGGCCAACCUCCCUGGGGAGCGGACAUUUCUCCGGCU